rnacentral:misc_RNA from 1 species
GAUGAAGAACGUAGCGAAAUGCGAUACGUAAUGUGAAUUGCAGAAUACAGUGAAUCAUCGAGUCUUUGAACGCACAUUGCGCCCCCUGGUAUUCCGGGGGGCAUGCCUGUCCGAGCGUCAUUGCUGCCCUCAAGCACGGCUUGUGUGUUGGGCCUCCGUCCUCCUCCCGGGGGACGGGCCCGAAAGGCAGCGGCGGCACCGCGUCCGGUCCUCGAGCGUAUGGGGCUUCGUCACCCGCUCUUGUAGGCCCGGCCGGCGCUUGCCGACACAUCAAUCUUUUUUCCAGGUUGACCUCGGAUCAGGUAGGGAUACCCGCUGAACUUAAGCAUAUCAAUAAGCGGAGGA